UACGAAGGGGGCUAGCGUUGCUCGGAAUCACUGGGCGUAAAGGGUGCGUAGGCGGGUCUUUAAGUCAGGGGUGAAAUCCUGGAGCUCAACUCCAGAACUGCCUUCGAUACUGGCUUUCUAGAGGCUGGAAGAGGUUAGUGGAAUUCCCAGUGUAGAGGUGAAAUUCGUAGAUAUUGGGAAGAACACCAGUGGCGAAGGCGGCUAACUGGUCCAGAUCUGACGCUGAGGUGCGAAAGCGUGGGGAGCAAACAGG
rnacentral:rRNA from 1 species